UUAGAUUAAAAUUAAAAUAUUAGUUAUGAAAAAAAAUAUUUGCCUUCCAUGUAUUUGACAUUUGAUAUCUUUUAAUUUUUAUGGACACUUAUUAAACAUUUGUAUUGAAAAUGCCUCGUGGAAGUGGUUCUGGUUCUACUCAAGGGGGUGGUAAACCAAGUGAAGAUAUUGGGUGGAAGUUUGCAACACCUACAGGGAAAAAAGGAGAACUGAUUUGUAAUUUGUAAUUUUUGUGGGAGAAAAGUCACAGGUGGAAUAACAAGAUUGAAGUUGCACUUGGUUAACAUACCUGGUCAAAUUGCAGGUUGUCAGAAAGUUUCUUCCCAAGUUAAGAAGGAUAUGGCCGUUGUCCUGAAAGAAUACCAAUUAGCUAAAAAGGAUAAAGAAAAAAGAGAAAGAGAAUUAGAAGAAGAAAUUAUGAAUAUAAAUAGAAUCGAAGAUGAUGAAGAGGAGGAGGAGGAGGACAUCGAAAUGGAAAUGGCGAGACGGGCGAGCAUGAGACAGUUGGAAGAAGAUGAAUUUAGAAGGAGAACUGGAUCUAGAUUUGAUGUUGGUGGUAGUAGCAAACAAGUGUUGGGUCGUUCUGCUACUACACGUGAGAGAGGUAGAGAAGCACAAAGAUAUGCAGAAGUAUCUACACCGGCAUCUCGGUUGGCUGUCACAGAAGUUGAGAUAGAGAGAAGCAGAGCCCAACAAAAGCA
rnacentral:lncRNA from 1 species